rnacentral:rRNA from 1 species
GUGCAGCAGGCGCGAAACCUCCGCAAUACACGAAAGUGUGACGGGGCCAUCCCGAGUGCCGUCCGCUGAGGACGGCUUUUCCCCAGUGUACACAGCUGGGGGAAUAAGGAGAGGGCAAGCCUGGUGUCAGCCGCCGCGGUAAUACCAGCUCUCCGAGUGGUGGGGACGCUUAUUGGGCCUAAAGCAUCCGUAGCCGGCUGGGCAAGUCCUCCGUUAAAUCCAACGAUUCAAUCGUUGGGCUGCGGGGGAUACUGUCCAGCUUGGGGGGCGGGAGAGGCCGACGGUAUUCCCGGGGUAGGGGUGAAAUCCUAUAAUCCCGGGAGGACCACCAGUGGCGAAGGCUGUCGGCUAGAACGCGCCCGACGGUGAGGGAUGAAAGCUGGGGGAGCGAACCGGAUUAGAUACCCCUGUAGU